UACGUAGGGUGCGAGCGUUGUCCGGAAUUAUUGGGCGUAAAGAGCUCGUAGGCGGUGUGUCACGUCGGCCGUGAAAACCUGGGGCUUAACUCUGGGCGUGCGGUCGAUACGGGCAUCACUAGAGUUCGGCAGGGGAGACUGGAAUUCCUGGUGUAGCGGUGAAAUGCGCAGAUAUCAGGAGGAACACCGGUGGCGAAGGCGGGUCUCUGGGCCGUAACUGACGCUGAGGAGCGAAAGCGUGGGGAGCGAACAGG
rnacentral:rRNA from 1 species